GUCUGUGGCCACACCACCCUCAACGUGCCCCAUCUCGUCUCAGCUUUGGAAGCUAAGCAGGGUCUGACCUGGUUAGUACUUGGAUGGGAGAAGAGGAAUAGUAGUGCUUAAAAAA
rnacentral:rRNA from 1 species